CACGGGGGGAGCAAGCGUUGUUCGGAAUCACUGGGCGUAAAGGGCGUGUAGGCGGUCAGGUAAGUGGAAUGUGAAAUGCCUCGGCUCACCCGAGGACCUGCAUCCCAAACUGCCUGGCUUGAGUAUGGGAGAGGAUGAGGGAAUUCCUGGUGUAGCGGUGAGAUGCGUAGAUAUCUGGAGGAACACCGGUGGCGAAGGCGGCAUCCUGGACCGAGAUUGACGCUGAGGCGCGAAAGCCAGGGGGAGCAAACGGGG
rnacentral:rRNA from 1 species